AAUAUCAGGACUUGAAAUCGGGAAGGACGAUUGGCAAUGUUAGGAUGCGCUCAGGCUUGUAUCUUCUUCAAACAGACUCUUCUGGAAGAUAAAUUCAAACGCUCUGCAGAACUGCUGAAGAACACCCAGAAAUACUAUUCUUGAAAGUCAAUUUUGAUGAGAACAAGCCUAUGUGCAAAAGUUUGAAUGUCAAGGUGCUUCCUUAUUUCCACUUUUAUCGUGGGGCCCAUGGACAACUUGAAUCUUUCUCAUGUUCACUAGCAAAGUUUCAGAAAAUAAAAGAUGCAAUUGAAAUGCACAACACAGAACAUUGCAGUAGGAGUCCACCAAAGGGGGUUGGAGAUCUAAGUCUUGAAUCUGUCUCUGCUCCAGUUGACAAACUAUCUGGGUCAACUGAAACGUAAAAUUAAGCAUUUAUCCUUUGACAUUGAGUACCAUAUAUAUCUCAGCUAAUGAUCUUCCACUGUUAGAUAUCAACAACUAAUUUGUGAUUAUGUUGGUAUUUUCCAGUAAAAGAAUAGCUAGCAGUUAUGGUUGCAUUCUUUUUAAAUUCUGUGCAGGCGCGUGAUGUAUUUAGCUUCAGACCUCGACUGGAAAUGAAAUUUCUUUUUCUCAA